CAGGCGGCGACGGGUAUCCGGCCUGAGAGGGUGUACGGACACAUUGGGACUGAGAUACGGCCCAGACUCCUACGGGAGGCAGCAGUGGGGAAUAUUGCACAAUGGGCGCAAGCCUGAUGCAGCGACGCCGCGUGGGGGAUGAAGGCCUUCGGGUUGUAAACUCCUUUCGCUAUCGACGAAGCCU
rnacentral:rRNA from 1 species